GCCUGGCUAGCUCAAUAAGUAGAGCGUGGGACUCUUAAUCCCAGGGUCAUGGGUUUGAGCCCCACCUUGGGCG
rfam:TPA: Bos taurus chromosome 8, whole genome shotgun sequence.